CCUGCCGAUAACUCCGGAAUAGCCUUUCGAAAGAAAGAUUAAUACCGGAUAGUAUACGAAUAUCGCAUGAUAUUUUUAUUAAAGAAUUUCGGUUAUCGAUGGGGAUGCGUUCCAUUAGUUUGUUGGCGGGGUAACGGCCCACCAAGACUACGAUGGAUAGGGGUUCUGAGAGGAAGGUCCCCCACAUUGGAACUGAGACACGGUCCAAACUCCUACGGGAGGCAGCAGUGAGGAAUAUUGGUCAAUGGGCGAGAGCCUGAACCAGCCAAGUAGCGUGAAGGAUGAAGGCUCUAUGGGUCGUAAACUUCUUUUAUAUGGGAAUAAAGUUUUCCACGUGUGGAAUUUUGUAUGUACCAUAUGAAUAAGGAUCGGCUAACUCCGUGCCAGCAGCCGCGGUAAUACGGAGGAUCCGAGCGUUAUCCGGAUUUAUUGGGUUUAAAGGGAGCGUAGGUGGAUUGUUAAGUCAGUUGUGAAAGUUUGCGGCUCAACCGUAAAAUUGCAGUUGAAACUGGGAGUCUUGAGUACAGUAGAGGUGGGCGGAAUUCGUGGUGUAGCGGUGAAAUGCUUAGAUAUCACGAAGAACUCCGAUUGCGAAGGCAGCUCACUAGACUGUCACUGACACUGAUGCUCGAAAGUGUGGGUAUCAAACAGGAUUAGAUACCCUGGUAGUCCACACAGUAAACGAUGAAUACUCGCUGUUUGCGAUAUACAGUAAGCGGCCAAG
rnacentral:rRNA from 1 species